GGCAAGAAACUAGAAAUAAGACACAUCCACAAUGGAAUGGACUACUUGGAUCGCUGUCUCAUCUUUCGGCGCUUCCUCUUUAGUCUCCUCAUACGCUUCUUCUUCCACUGGCAAAAAAAUGUUCAGCCAAAGUCAAUGACAGUAUCAAGAACUGGAAUUUAUAAUCUUCUACAAACUUCUAUGAAUAGUAUACAAAUGAAGUGAAAUUUACGAAAGAACCAUUAAUCUUAUCUAAGCACAACGCUAUAAGAAAUUGAGUAGAUCGCUAUAACAAAACAAGAGAUCACUAAUUAUUUCACUCCUAAUUUUAUAUCUAACAUAGCACUUCCCAGUAAUCAUUUCAAGGUAGAUUUGUUCUCUAUAUGUAUAACAAUCAAUUCAAUAGAGAGUCAAAUUGACAAGGUAAUCUAUAGAGCAGCAUAAAAAAUUAAGAACAGUAAGCAAAUCCAAGUAUCUAAGACACAACAAAUCAUAGAGAAAAGAAAAGCAGAUUACAGAGGAAAUGAACAAACCUUGGCUCUCAUGAUGCUUCGUUCGCCGUUCUCUCCACUUACGAGGAGAGUCUCCAAAAUAUAUAGCUAGGGUUUUCCGUUUUCCCUUGCUAAAUUCUGAUAAGGCCCUGAUAUUUCAAAUGGGCCUAAAAAUUGAAGGCCCCUAUAACGAUUUUAGAUUAUAUAAUUGAGAUUAAGAAAGUGAAAGAUGAAUAAAUAUGGGAGAGAUUAGAGAAGAAGAAGAAGAAAGUACAAAGAUGUGGUACACAGCGAGAUUGUGAGAAGAAGACAAGAAAAACAAGUGCUGCUGCUUCUUCUUACCCAUCAUCAACACAUACUCCCAGUUUUGACUUUAACAGUGAAUAUAACUCAUUUACAUCCUCAUUAUUG
rnacentral:lncRNA from 1 species